UCUGGUAACUAUAUCACGAAGGCUACACCUGUUCCCAUCCCGAACACAGAAGUUAAGUUUCGUAGAGCUGAUGAUACUUGGUUGGAGACGACCUGGGAAAGUAAGACGUUGCCGGUU
rnacentral:rRNA from 1 species